UUUUCUCUCUCCCUCGAACCCUAUUCUUCUCAAAACCCUCGAUCUUCUCUCUAUCCCUCGAACCCUAUUUGAUCUCUCUCUCAAACCCUCGCGAUUUCACAUCUCUCUCUGAAGCCCUCUUUGCUCUCAUUGUCCCUCUCUCAAGCCCUAUUCGCCUCGUUGUCCCUCUCCCGAGCCCUCUUCACUGUCGCUCUCCCUCUCUCGAACCCUUGCUUCUUCCCCCUUUCUCUUUCGAACUGUCGUCGCAUAAUAAGGCAGCAAUGUCGUUGUCCUUCGUUGAUGAAGCAAUCACCUUCAUCGUUCGUUUCGGAGUCGUAGUUCGACGCUGAGAGAGUACCUUCAUCCACCCUAGGUUCAUGAUAAUACUCCAGGAGCGGGAAGGGUUCGGAGAGGAGUGAAAAAUAGGAAGAUUGUUCGGUGAGAAAUGCGAUUUAGGUCGCGUGUUCGGUGGAAAAGGAAGAUUCAACGGCUGAAUCGGUGAAAUGGUGCAAAAAUGAGGAUGUAAUCGGUGGAUUCGAUGGAGAAGGCUAUAGUGAUUUAUCAGAAAAUAUUCCGGAAUUUAUGUUCUUUCUCUUCUCUUCGACAUUUAUGUAAAUGUUUUUGUGCAGGUUCAAGAAGUGUACGAAAUUUCAGCUGAGUGUGAAGAAAAGCGCGACCUUAAGAAACUGGAUAUUUGCACUUUUAAGGAAAAGAAAAUGAUAUACAAUUGAAGUCAUUAGCAGAGGAAAUGCAAGCAAUCAUCAGGGGAUUAGAAAAGGCUAAAGAGGAGCUGACUGCAUCAGAAAACGAUGGCCCAGUGACUGAAGUUUUUCGUAAGGCAAUUAUCUCUGGAUGUUCUAUGCUGGAGAGUUGGCUGCAAUUUUAAAUUGUGAUCGAUUCAAAUCACUACUACCUAGAACAACUAAAGUGAAAUGCCUUGCAGAUGCUGGUUAUUUUAUCAAUGUGUGGACAAGCUUAAAGGGGAACUGGAAACACAAAACAAGUAGAAAGGGAACACGGAAACUCGAGUGUUUGUUAGAGAAAAAAGUUAAUGACUUGAACUCAAAAUUAGAAGAUGUAAUGUUGAUCUGUCUCAUUUGCUUCAAAACAUGGAUGGUAAGAUAAGAGAAGCCAAGGAGCGUAAGGAUAUCUUAGAUAUGAUAGGGAAUCUUGUUUUGUAAAUAAAUAGUUGUUGGAAUUAGUUUUUAUAAUUUUAUUUUGGUUUU